UUUGUCGUGGCCGAGUGGUUAAGGCGAUGAACUUAAAAUCUUUUGGGAUCUUCCCGCGCAGGUUCGAAUCCUGCCGACAUCG
rnacentral:tRNA from 1 species